GACAGGCCAAGGAGAAUUCUGAUUUCAAAGGGAUGCUUAGAAUCUGUACUGAUGCCAUCUAGAAAUGUAAAUGCUCAGUGUCACACUGCUAAGGGGAGAAAGGGGCUGGUGUGUGGAUUGAGGGGGCAUUGCCAUAGUGUGAAUGUGGACGUCCUGGAACAACAUGUGGGAAUUGGCAUUCUUCCUCCCCCAGUUUCACAGACGUCACCAUUAGACCAAGCCUCGAAUACCUGAGUCUUUGUGGAACAUGAUGGAUUGACAACAAAAUGCUUCUUACUGAGGUGAGAGUAUAAAAGUGAACAACUACUUAUCAUGGACAUUUACCUGGAAACUCGAACUCAAAAUAUAUAAUAUACAUCUUUGCUUCUUUCCUAGUCAGACAUAAGCUGUUGGUGUCUUUCUCAGCCCUCAGAAGAGCAGCUUCUUCUUGCAGCAGACAGAGAUGAAUACAGAUGCACAGCUGGUCAGAAUGAGCAGAAGCAAUGGUGAGCUGCCCAGCCCUAAGCUCAGGAUAUCUAUCACACUCCAGCCCCUUCCCAAGGCUGAAGGAAGUUCACUUAGUAUAUGUUAAUGAACUGUCAUAAUGCUUAUUAAAAACUUAAACGGUAUUUUACUCAGAAUCCUAUUUCUAUGAUAUUAUCCAUAGAGGUACUCUCAAGCUUAAGAAGUUAUUUAAUCUCAAACAUUGGAAAUUUUGACAGUUUUUGGUGUAAAGGCCAUAUUCACAUAUCCAUGGAAUGGAAUGACUUCAGAAUGCCAGAAGUUGUACUCAUGUGUAAAUGUCCCCAGGGAAUGUUUAGAAAUUAUACAAGCAAGGUUCAGGAUACUCAGUAUUCUUUGCACUUGAAGAUAAAUGAUCAUGUAUAUAGAUAUGUAAUGGUUUUAUGUAACACAUUUGUCAGAUAUUUCUGUGAGAGGAGGAAUUGUUUUUACUUUUGCUUCUGAGGAAGGUUUUUCAAUACAGUUGUAGAGUAAAUCACUGUGUUGAACUUGGGGUCUUAUAUAUGAAAGCAUAACUUUGUAUUCUGUGAGUUUUUAACCAUUAACUUACAGUUACUCAUUUUUCAAAAGAUUUCAAAAGACACCCUCUCCUUACACUUUUUUUCUUUGCUUUCCCAAGUGUAGUGAUCACAGCAUCUUUAAUAUGCUCUAUAUCUCAUAUUUUAUUUUUUGUAUGUAGAGGAAUACAGGUAGCUGUCAACUAACCAAGUUUGCAAAAUGAGUUGAUGUUCUUAUAGAUGAUAGAUGUCAUUAGAAACUGAAGGAAUGUAUACUGCUAUUACAUAGUUAUUUGCACACUACAAUUAUAAGAAAUACUUUUUCACAAGACCAUAUAUCUUUCAAACACAUUUAAUAUUUUUUUCUGCUCUUAACUGAAUCAGGUGGGAAACAUACAUGAGUGAAAAUAAAGACUAGAGAAGUUUAAUUAAAAUGUCUACAUCUUAGCAACGUAUCUAAAGUAUUCAUUACCAAUAUUUUAUUUCUUACAUAUUUAACUUGACAUGAACACCUACAAUUCUUGAUGAGAUUUGAUGACUAGUUGGCAUACAUUUUAUUUAACUUACUGUCUAUAUAUUUUGUUAAUUUAUACCUAAUCAUGUUUAAUUAAAUUAUUGAACUCUUAUUUUAUCUC
rnacentral:lncRNA from 1 species